AAUGAACGUUGGCGGCAUGGAUUAGGCAUGCAAGUCGAGCGCGAAGAGUCAUUUGCUUGCAUUUGACUCUGAAAGCGGCGUAAGGGUGAGUAACGCGUAGUUACCUGCCUCCGGGUCCGGAAUAGCCACGGGAAACUGUGGGUAAUGCCGGAUAACAUCUCAGGAUCAAAGGUGAGAUUCCGCCCGGAGAGGGGACUGCGUCCUACUAGCUUGUUGGUGGGGUAAUGGCCUACCAAGGCUCCGAUGGGUAGCGGGCGUGAGAGCGUGGCCCGUCACACUGGGACUGAGACACUGCCCAGACACCUACGGGUGGCUGCAGUCGAGAAUCUUCGGCAAUGGGCGAAAGCCUGACCGAGCAAUGCCGCGUGCGGGAUGAAGGCCCUCGGGUUGUAAACCGCGAAAGUGAGGAGGAAGGCCCUGCGAAGAGCAGGUUUUGACCGAUCCACAGUAAGGACGGGCUAAGUUCGUGCCAGCCGCCGCAGUAAUAC
rnacentral:rRNA from 1 species